rnacentral:rRNA from 1 species
AUGGCGCCGUUGGCCGCCUCCCCGCUCCUCCCCUCCCCCUCGCCGCCGUGCCACCUCCUCCUACGCCGCUGCCCCGACAGUCUCUGGCUGCCAGCGCCUCGGUCACCGCGAUUGCCGCUCCGUCGCCUCUCGCGUGACGGCGGCGGCAGCGAGUGCCUGUCUCGGCUCCGGCAUGUCCGGCCGCUCCGAGCCGUGCCCGUCAUCGCGCCCGGCGACCAGUGGGGCAACUGGGCGUUCCUCCUCUCCGCCGCGGCCUUCGGCACCUGGGCGGAGGAGCGGACGGCGUGGGGCGCGGCGCUGAGCGGGGCGCUGGUGAGCAUCCUGGCAGGCCUGGCGGCGUCGUCGGCGGGGCUGGUGGCGCCCGGCGCGCCCGCGCAGGCCGUCGUCAUGGAGUACCUGCUCCCCGUCGCUGUCCCGCUCCUGCUCCUCGGCGCCGACCUCCGCCGCGUCGUCCGCACCACCGGCGACCUCCUCAAGGCCUUCCUCAUCGGAUCAGUUGCAACUGUAAUCGGCACGACGGUGGCUUAUCUGCUGUUCCCGAUGAGGUCGCUGGGCCAGGAUGGCUGGAAGAUCGCCGCCGCUCUCAUGGGGAGCUACAUUGGCGGAGCGGUGAAUUUCGUGGCGAUCUCGGAGGCGCUGGGCACGACGCCGUCGGUGGUGGCGGCGGGCGUGGCGGCGGACAACCUCAUCUCCGCGCUCUACUUCACGGCCCUCUUCGCGCUGGCGUCCAAGAUACCGCCGGAGGCCAAGAGCGCCUCGUCCCCGGAGGACGGCGGCGGGGGCGAGCCCCGGGGCGGCAUGUCCGUGCUGCACGGCGGCGCGGCGCUGGCGCUGUCGUUCGCGAUCUGCAGGGCCGGCACGGCGAUCGCGGCGGGGCUGGGCGUGGCCGCCGGCGGCACGCUGCCGUGCGUGACGGCGCUGGUGGUGCUCCUGGCGACGGCGUUCCCGGGCGCGCUGGGGAGACUCGCGCCGUCCGGCGAGACCAUGGCGCUGAUCCUGAUGCAGGUGUUCUUCGCGGUGGUGGGCGCCAACGGCAGCGUGGUGGACGCGGUGACCAAGGCGCCCGCCGUGUUCGCGUUCGCCGCCGUGCAGGUGGCCGUGCACCUCGCCGUGGUGCUCGGGGCCGGGAGGCUGGCCGGGCUGGACAGGAAGCAGCUGCUCGUCGCGUCCAACGCCAACGUCGGCGGGCCGACCACGGCCGCCGCCAUGGCCACGGCGAAGGGGUGGAGCUCGCUCGUCGUGCCCGGCAUCCUCGUCGGCAUCUUCGGGAUCUCCAUCGCCACGUUCCUCGGCAUCGGCUUCGGCAUGUUCGUGCUCCGGAGGAUGUCCGGCUUCUAG